AAACCAACCAGGGAUUGCCUCAGUAGCGGCGAGUGAAGCGGCAAGAGCUCAGAUUUGAAAUCGUGCUUUGCGGCACGAGUUGUAGAUUGCAGGUUGGAGUCUGUGUGGAAGGCGGUGUCCAAGUCCCUUGGAACAGGGCGCCCAGGAGGGUGAGAGCCCCGUGGGAUGCCGGCGGAAGCAGUGAGGCCCUUCUGACGAGUCGAGUUGUUUGGGAAUGCAGCUCCAAGCGGGUGGUAAAUUCCAUCUAAGGCUAAAUACUGGCGAGAGACCGAUAGCGAACAAGUACUGUGAAGGAAAGAUGAAAAGCACUUUGAAAAGAGAGUGAAACAGCACGUGAAAUUGUUGAAAGGGAAGGGUAUUGCGCCCGACAUGGGGAUUGCGCACCGCUGCCUCUCGUGGGCGCGCUCUGGGCUUUCCCUGGGCCAGCAUCGGUUCUUGCUGCAGGAGAAGGGGUUCUGGAACGUGGCUCUUCGGAGUGUUAUAGCCAGGG
rnacentral:rRNA from 1 species